rnacentral:rRNA from 1 species
CCUGCCGGGUCUAGACUGCAGUCGAACGAAGAAUUUAGCAAUAAGUUCUUAGUGGCGAAUGGGUGCGUAACACGUAGGUGACCUGCCCUGAAGUGUGGAAUAACAGUUCGAAAGGACUGCUAAUACCGCAUGUGGUUGCGGAGGUUAGAGGCUCUGCAUCUAAAGUCGCAAGACGCUUCAGGAGGGGCCUGCGGCCCAUCAGCUAGUUGGUAGGGUAAUGGCCUACCAAGGCUACGACGGGUAGGGGACCUGAGAGGGUGACCCCCCACAUUGGCACUGACACACGGGCCAAACUCCUAGGGGAGGCAGCAGUCGGGAAUAUUGCUCAAUGGGCGAAAGCCUGAAGCAGCAACGCCGCGUGCGCGAUGAAGGCCUUCGGGUUGUAAAGCGCUUUUCGGGAGGAUGAGGAAGGACGGUACUCCCGGAAUAAGGUACGGCUAACUACGUGCCAGCAGCCGCGGUAAAACGUAGGUACCGAGCGUUAUCCGGAUUUACUGGGCGUAAAGCGCGUUCAGGCGGUCUGGCAAGUCGGGCAUGAAAUCUCUCGGCUCAACCGGGAGAGGUUGUUCGAUACUUUCAGACUUGAGGGCAGUAGAGGGUGGUGGAAUUCCGCAUGUAGUGGUGAAAUGCGUAGAUAUGCGGAGGAACACCAGUGGCGAAGGCGGCCACCUGGACUGCACCUGACGCUCAAACGCGAAAGCUAGGGGAGCGAACGGGAUUAGAAACCCCGGUAGUCCUAGCCGUAAACGAUGUUGACUGGGUGUCGGAGGCUUAAAAAACUUUCGGUGCCGUAGCAAACGCGUUAAGUCAACCGCCUGGGGACUACGGCCGCAAGGUUAAAACUCAAAGGAAUUGACGG